UACGGGGGGAGCAAGCGUUGUUCGGAUUUACUGGGCGUAAAGGGCGCGUAGGCGGCGUGACAAGUCACUUGUGAAAUCUCCGGGCUUAACUCGGAACGGUCAAGUGAUACUGUCGUGCUAGAGUACAGAAGGGGCAAGCUGGAAUUCUCGGUGUAGCGGUGAAAUGCGUAGAUAUCGAGAGGAACACCUGCGGCGAAGGCGGGUUGCUGGGCUGAUACUGACGCUGAGGCGCGAAAGCCAGGGGAGCGAACGGG
rnacentral:rRNA from 1 species